UACGGGGGGGGCAAGCGUUGUUCGGAAUUACUGGGCGUAAAGGGCGCGUAGGCGGCCGAUCAAGUCAGAUGUGAAAGUCCUGGGCUUAACCUGGGGACUGCAUUUGAUACUGAUUGGCUUGAAUUCGGGAGAGGAUAGCGGAAUUCCCAGUGUAGAGGUGAAAUUCGUAGAUAUUGGGAAGAACACCGGUGGCGAAGGCGGCUAUCUGGACCGACAUUGACGCUGAGGCGCGAAAGCGUGGGGAGCAAACAGG
rnacentral:rRNA from 1 species